UACGCUCUUGCAUAAGCCCGGCCUUGUGGCUGGAGACAUGUCUGAACUCAGGGCGGGAGAGAGGACAAAAAGUUCCCGCUUUUGGGGCAAUGUGGAAGCAAGGCUGCUGAGGUGAGAAGGCAGAGGUAUUGCUAGGGCGUCGCAGCUGCUGCGAGCACGGGACUGAGCGCUGAACGCUGCAGCCCUCACAGCAUCUCACUUUGCCGAUGCUGCUGCCUUGCAUGUCUCUGUGUUUCUCUGCGCUCUCUGUAUGUAUGGGUAGGGCAACAGAAAUCUAUGCAUGCUGCUCUCUGCACACUCAGCAAGUGUAAUGUGGAAAAUUGCCUCUGUUUGGGAUUGUAUAUUGGGGAGAAUUACCUCUGUCUGGGGUCUGAGAGCCUGCUACUAGGCUGCUAGAGCUGUGCACGGGUGGGCUGACAAAGCUUUUCUUGGUGGCUGGUGUAAGAGCAUUGAGGGCUGACUUUCGGCAGCUGCGCUGUGACUUGUGCUCUCCAAUUCCUGCUUCUCUGUGCUGGGUUCAACGCUGGGCACAGUGCAGCUUUGAUUUGCCUGCUAGUACAUUAAUGGCUUUGGAAUUGUCCUCGUUAGAGAUAUUUGAUACGUCCUGUGUUUUCUCCUACCAUGCCAGUAACACAUCUUGCAUCCACGCGUACUUGCUUCCAAGAGUGCACAGCUAUUACUUGCUGCUGUUUAGAUUAGACUUACAUACAGCACGCUCUUGUGCCAUCUCCGCUGGUGUAGAGUCUGGAUGUAUGGAGACCGAAGGGUAGCAGGUAGCUUUCCCAUGGUGUUCGGGUGGACUCUCUGUUUGCUCUUCUGCACUCCACUGCAUUAGGGUUACGUUCCUCAGAAGCUAGUACUGUUAUAUACAGAACUACGGAGUUCAGUUGUGCACUGUUUUCACAGUGAACAUUACCUUUAAUAUCUGCAACAGAAGUGAUUGCAUCACUAGUUUUGGUCUCAGGGGAGUCUGUCUGACAAGCGUGCUACCAGCGGGCAUGAGGUUGAGGUAUGGUAUCUGAUACGCCUUAGAGAGAGGAGGUCUGGGACCAGUUUACCUCCUUUACAUGCAAUACAUUAGCUAUCAGAGCAACUAUUGGAUGGGAGUCACCAAGAGCAGCAAGCAGAACCACAAGAAGAUAAAGGGACUGAAAGAUACAAGGCAAAUGACAGUGAUGAUGUCUCCACCUUGCGAUGGAAAACUUGUCUGCCUUAUGAUGAACACCACCGUUCACCAUCGUUGGGACUUCUCUGUCUACCUAGCCUGCUGUGUAUCUGGAGGGCCCAGAAAUGCCAUGCAGAGCACUGGUGAAUGACGAGGAUGAUCGGAGAGAGCGUCAGCUCCAAGAACUGGGUGAGCCAGCAGAAUAAGGAGUCAGGCUGAGAGAUAGCAGGCACGUUACUGAGACUUCUUCACAGGGACUGAAAUGGUUUGGGAGGAGAGGAAUAAAAGGGAUCGCAGUAACCACUACAGCAGUGUGGACAACCCAGAAUAGCGAUGGGGCAGGUGGACUAGAUUCACAGUGGUGGAAAGACUUGCAAAUUUCAGGUCCAGGAAAGGAACACAGAGAAGACCUACAUGAACAGGGACUUUAAACUGAUGUGGGGAGAAAGUGGCUCAUCUCUGAGAGACCUUUCCGUUUAGGAAGAAAGACAGGGGAAUGAUGCAGAGUUUCUUUUGAUUUUGUUUUGUGGGUUUUCAGGUGGGGGUUGUUUGUUUAUUUGUUUAUUUUCCAGAACACCUGAGAGUUGUCCUGCAUUCAUACAGUUCAAGAAGGGAAGGGCUCAGGAAAAAUGAUUUCUGGCUGCCAAGCUGAUACACCACCAGACCCUAGCAGUCAUGACUGCCCCUGUUGCACAGUUCCACAGGGCUGCCCCUACUUUUACAGCUGCUCUCCUGGCAUCCCACUCAUUUACAAGACUGUGGAGAGGAGAACUGGAACACAGAGCAGAGGCAUUUGUAUGACCUUUCACUGUCCUACAUCUCUAGCUGUUUGUAAAACAAAUACAGUCACUUGUUUUGGUGUUGCAGUCAGCCUGCAGCCCUUUUUGUAUUUAAUAAAGAAACUUCUGGAGAAGAGUCUGUGCAUUCAA